UACGUAGGGUGCAAGCGUUAAUCGGAAUUACUGGGCGUAAAGCGUGCGCAGGCGGUUUCGUAAGUCUGUCGUGAAAUCCCCGGGCUUAACCUGGGAAUGGCGAUGGAGACUGCGUGGCUAGAGUUUGGCAGAGGGGGGUAGAAUUCCACGUGUAGCAGUGAAAUGCGUAGAGAUGUGGAGGAACACCGAUGGCGAAGGCAGCCCCCUGGGUCAAAACUGACGCUCAUGCACGAAAGCGUGGGGAGCAAACAGG
rnacentral:rRNA from 1 species